UCUCUCUCUCUCUCUCUCUCUCUCUCUCUCAUGUGCACUAGUAUGUUCCAGUUCCCGUUUCAAAAUCGAAAGCUUGAGGGGUGGCUAAGACGGCGAAGGCGAGGUAGAUCUGGCGUAGUGUCGAAGUUCCGAUCAUCGUCGUCGAAGUUUCAAUCAUAAUCGAACUGAAAUUGGUCAGAACAUUUACUCUCUAUCUCCUCUUCUUCGUUGAAGGUAUACUCAGAAAUUUGGGUUUUUUUUAAUUGCUUUGUAAUUUUUGGUAUGGGUUUGGUUCGGAAAAAGUCGAACCAAAUCUGGGUUUGGUUUGGGAAAAAACAAAACAAAAUUUAAUUUUGGUUUCAAUCCAUUGGUUUAGGUUGAUCGGCGUGGAUGAAGUGGUGGGCAUGGCUGGUGGUGGUCAGAUCCUUUGUUGAUGUGAUUAAUCAAAAGAAAAAGUUUCUUCAAGCAGAAUUCUAGUAUGUGGGAGGAGUUUGCUGAAGUAGAUACUUGUCUUCUUUGCUUUUGCAAGGAGCGAUGCAUGGUUACAUUCUCAUUUAGUUGUGUAGCUUUCUCUUGCUGUUUCAAACGGUUGAUUUUUAUAUUUUCUAUUACUUUAUUACUGCUGAUUCCUUUCAGUUUUUGGAAUAUUCUUAUACCUCAACUUUGUGUUAUGCUUUAUUCAUUAACAUGUUAUAGGUGAUGGCCCCAACAAUUCGUAAUACAGGACAAAUCGAUGUACAGCCUAAUUCGUAUUAGCCGCAGGAAGGAAGUAUAUAUGGAUGAUGCGGCUAUUGUUUAGCCCCUUAAUGAACCAGGGGAAGUUUGUGCAUAUACAUGGCUACAGAGUACCAAAUUCUAUUGAAAGUGCUAAUGGUGAGUAAUAAGUCCACUAUAACAUACCCAGUUCCUGUACAGUUAGACUAGUUAGUUUCUCUGGAGUAUUUAAGUUCUCUAUUGUGAAAUUAUUUGUUUUGUAUCUAAAGAUGUUCUUAUAUUUCAAACAGGUAUCACAUGAAACUAUGGAUUUUGGGCUUUGGACGAUGGAGAUGGCUUGCUGGGAAAGGAUUUGUCAACCUUGUUUUGCAACUUCAUUUUGUUCAUAUGCUGGUAUUACUUGUGUCACUUGGCAUGAAUUCUUGUAAAAGUUUUGUUAGAACCUUUUUCGUUUAAUAUGUUAAGACAAGGAGUUGGACAGCUUUUUGUACAAUUUGAAUGACAAGUUCAUUGAAUUUUUAUUCUUGUAUCCUAGCAUAUGGUGAUCUUAUUGAUGCAUAUGUUCAAAGUUAGUUGGUGUAUUAUGUUGAUAUGUAAAGUGUGGCUUAUGGUGAUCCAUAUAACAUUGCCAAUGUUGUUGGAAACGUGGAUAUAACAUGGAGAAGGAAUUUAUUUAUUUUUUAAAUAAAGGAUUCUUUUGGGGCAGUUAGAAGUGCCGCAUAACCAAAGCUACAAAGGCAUUGAUAAAUGCCACAUAAACUAAGCUGUCCCUGCACUUCAAAGUGCCUCGAUAUAUAAUUAACCAUGGUUAGUACUCCUAUCCAAUAAUCUAUCGAUGCACCAGAAACUGCCUUAAUAUGAUGGUUUACUAAGCACUUUCGUAUGCCGGGUAAAAGAACUAUUGAGGCUUGUAAAAGUGCCGCAUAAAGCUAUUGCUGCACCGUUACAAGCGGCACUUGCAUAUUUUGCCCCAAUAGCUAAAAUGCCCCAUUAGGUCUCUUUUUGGGGCAGUUUUGACUGCCUCGACAUCAUGAUUUUGUU